AUUGAACGCUGGCGGCAUGCCUUACACAUGCAAGUCGAACGGCAGCACGGGUGCUUGCUCCUGUUGGCGAUUGGCGGACGGGUUCGUAAUACAUCUGCACCUGUCCUUUAGUUUGCGUUAGCCCUGCGAAAGCCGGAUUUAUACCGCAUACGAUCCCCGGAUGCAAGCGGGGGCCCUUCGGCCCUCGCCCUUUAGGGUUUGCCUAUGGCUGUUUCGCUUUUUGGUGGGGUAAAGGCCUACCAAGGCGACGACAAGUAGCUGGGCUGAGUGGACGAGCAUCCACACUUGGAAGGAGAAAAGGGCCAGAAGCCUAAGGGAGGGAGCAGGGGGGAAAUUUGGACAAUGGGGGGAAGGCUGAUCCAGCAAUGCCGCGUGUGGGAAAAAGGCCUUCGGGUUGGAAAGCACUUUUGUCCGGAAAGAAAAACUUGAAUCUAAAACAGUCGGGGGAUGACGGUACCGGAAGAAUAAGCACCGGCUAACUACGUG
rnacentral:rRNA from 1 species